rnacentral:rRNA from 1 species
UACGUAGGGGGCUAGCGUUGUUCGGAAUUACUGGGCGUAAAGCGCACGUAGGCGGACUCUUAAGUCAGGGGUGAAAUCCCGGGGCUCAACCUCGGAACUGCCUUUGAUACUGUGAGUCUCGAGACCGGAAGAGGUGAGUGGAAUUCCUCGUGUAGAGGUGAAAUUCGUAGAUAUUAGGAAGAACACCAGUGGCGAAGGCGGCUCACUGGUCCGGUUCUGACGCUGAGGUGCGAAAGCCUGGGGAUCAAACAGG